rnacentral:rRNA from 1 species
CCUACGGGCGGCAGCAGUAGGGAAUCUUUCACAAUGGGCGAAAGCCUGAUGGAGCAACGCCGCGUGCAGGAUGAAGGCCUACGGGUUGUAAACUGCUUUUAUAAGCGGGAAAUAUGAUGGUAACUUAUGAAUAAGGAUCGUCUAACUACGUGCCAGCAGCCGCGGUCAUACGUAGGAUCCGAGCAUUAUCCGGAGUAACUGGGUGUAAAGAGUUGCGUAGGUGGCAUAAUAAGUAGCUAGUGAAAUCUGGUGGCUUAACCAUUCAUACUAUAAGCUAAACUGUUAAGCUCGAGACCGUUAGGGGUAACUGGAAUUUGUAGUGUAGGAGUGAAAUGCGUAGAUAUUAGGAGGAACACCAAUAGCGUAGGCAGGUUGCUGGGACGGUUCUGACACUGAGGCACGAAAGCGUAGGGAGCAAACGGGAUUAGAUACCCGAGUAGUC